ensembl:rRNA 5S_rRNA 5S ribosomal RNA
GUCUACAGCCAAACCCUGAAUACCCUGAUCUCUUCUGAUCUUGGAAGCUAAGCAGGGUGGGGCCUGGUAAGUCCUUGGUUGGGAGAUAAGCAAAUGUAUCAUUUAAUGUGUUGGUAACUGCAAGUAACUGAAUACC